GAAUUGUGUUCUUUAGAAUUAAUAUUCGAGUGACAAUAAAAACCCAAAAAAAAACUAAGAGAUUACUUGGACAUUAAUCAUGAUGAAGAUAUAUAUUUAUAUUACCUUUAGUAUAAUGACCUGUAGAAUUGUUUAUCUUGUUGAGGUCCCUCAAAAACAUAAGAUAUAUAGUCGCCAUUCUUAUAAUUGUUAUAAUAAUUAUGAAGCGUCUAUGGAGUUAAUAAUAUAAUCGUUUAUGUAUAUAAAUAUAGAUUUUCCCGGAUUAGGUUUCUAAGAGCUUCCUUUAGGGGUCACCUCUAAAGGAGUAAAAAACAUAGUUCAAUUCUGUUAUAUUUAUUUAAUGAAAUAUUUACUAAAUUUAUGAGCUAUUAAAGGGAUAAUACAAAAUUAUAGGAUGAGUAUAUGUGUUAAUAUUAUGAAAAUUACGUAUAGAUAAAAUAAUUUUCAAUACAAAUAUAAUUACUUAAUUAAGAAUUCGGCAAAUAAAGUGAUUGGAGGUUAACUAAAAACCUAGUUUAAUGAGUUAUGUGUGUUCUCUAAUAUUAGGCAGCUUCUGCUCAGUGAAUAGUAUGUUUAACGGCGCCAUUAGGUUUAAUGUAGCAUAAUAUUGUCUAUUAAUUGUAGUCUUGUGAAGAAGAAACAGUCACCUGCUUUUUUAUUAAGUUAAGUGAAAAUUCAAACGGCAGUGAAAAUUCUGUCUAUUUUAAUAAAGAAAAAAAGACCCUAGGUACUUUAAUAUUAAGCCAUUAUGAUUUAUGUAUAUGGCUAAUAUAUUUUUACUGGGGCAGUAAUAUUUUAUUUGGUAUUAAUGUAUUAACUAAUAGAUUAUUGGUCAUGUUGAAUGGAAUUUAAUAUUGUGAUGUGAGCUGAAAUAGCCACAUCAUAAAAGUAACCCUAGGGAUAACAGCGCAAUCUACCAGGAAAGAUUCAUAUUAAUUGGUAGGCUUACGACCUCGAUGUCGACUUGUACUUUAUUUAAAUUUGCAGUAAAAUUUAAUUUAUGUUUGUUCACCAUUUAAUAGUGUACGUGAGUUGGGUUUAGAACGGGGCAACUUAGUUUGGAUUUUUUCUUAUAGUUAUUUUAGUAGUAGUACGAAAGGAAAAUUAUUAGGUAUAUGAAUA